GGAAGGAUCAUUAUUGAAUGUCGCCUUGACAGGCUGUCGCUGGUUGCCCAAAAGGCAGCAUGUGCACGCCUGUCUUGACUUCUAUUCAUCCACCUGUGCACCUUUUGUAGUCUUUGGAGGGCUGGGGAGGAGUGGCUGAUGUCGCUCUGAACCUUCCACCGGGGGCUAUGUUUUUCAUCACAUACUCUACUAGUCACAGAAUGUAGUCAAUGGGCACUUGUGCCUAUACAAAAUCCAUACAACUUUCAGCAACGGAUCUCUUGGCUCUCGCAUCGAUGAAGAACGCAGCGAAAUGCGAUAAGUAAUGUGAAUUGCAGAAUUCAGUGAAUCAUCGAAUCUUUGAACGCACCUUGCGCUCCUUGGCCAUUCCGAGGAGCAUGCCUGUUUGAGUGUCAUUAUAUUCUCAACCCCCACCAGCUUUGCUGGAGAGGGCUUGGAUGUGGAGGUUUUGCUGCUCCGCUUGGGUCCGCUCCUCUGAAAUGCAUUAGCGGAACCGUUUGUGAUCCGUCACAGGUGUGAUAAAUAUCUACGCCAGUGGGUCGCUUUCUGUGUGUUCUGCUCACAACCGUCCGGCAGCGGACAACUGUAAUUGAACGUUUGACCUCAAAUCAGGUAGGACUACCCGCUGAACUUAAGCAUAUCAAUAAGCGGAGGAAAAGAAACUAACAAGGAUUCCCCUAGUAACUGCGAGUGAAGCGGGAAAAGCUCAAAUUUAAAAUCUGGCGGUGUCUGGCCGUCCGAGUUGUAAUCUAGAGAAGUAAUGCCCGUGCUGGACCGUAUACAAGUCUCCUGGGAUGGAGCAUCAUGGAGGGUGAGAAUCCCGUCUCUGAUACGGACUACCAGUGCAUUGUGGUAUGCUCUCAAAGAGUCGAGUUGUUUGGGAAUGCAGCUCAAAAUGGGUGGUAAAUUCCAUCUAAAGCUAAAUAUUGGCGAGAGACCGAUAGCGAACAAGUACCGUGAGGGAAAGAUGAAAAGAACUUUGGAAAGAGAGUUAAACAGUACGUGAAAUUGCUGAAAGGGAAACGCUUGAAGUCAGUCGCGUUGGCCAGGAAUCAGCCUCGCUCUUGCGUGGUGUACUUUCUGGUUGACGGGUCAGCAUCAGUUUUGACCGCUGGAAAAAGGCAUAGGGAAUGUGACAGCUCCGGCUGUGUUAUAGCCCUGUGUCAUAUACGGUGGCUGGGACUGAGGAACGCAGCAUGCCGCAAGGCCGGGUCUUUGACCACGUACGUGCUUAGGAUGCUGGCAUAAUGGCUUUAAGCGACCCGUCUUGAAACACGGACCAAGGAGUCUAACAUGCCUGCAAGUGUUUGGGUGGAAAACUCGAGCGCGCAAUGAAAGUGAAAGUUGAGAUCCCUGUCGUGGGGAGCAUCGACGCCCGGACCAGAACUUUUGGGACGGAUCCGCGGUAGAGCAUGUAUGUUGGGACCCGAAAGAUGGUGAACUAUGCCUGAAUAGGGUGAAGCCAGAGGAAACUCUGGUGGAGGCUCGUAGCGAUUCUGACGUGCAAAUCGAUCGUCAAAUUUGGGUAUAGGGGCGAAAGACUAAUCGAACCAUCUAGUAGCUGGUUCCUGC
rnacentral:misc_RNA from 1 species